rnacentral:rRNA from 1 species
AAAGGAAUUGACGGGGACCCGCACAAGCAGUGGAGCAUGUGGUUUAAUUCGAAGCAACGCGAAGAACCUUACCAGGUCUUGACAUCCCUCUGAAUACGGCAGAGAUGUCGUAGGCCCCUUAUGGGGACAGAGGAGACAGGUGGUGCAUGGUUGUCGUCAGCUCGUGUCGUGAGAUGUUGGGUUAAGUCCCGCAACGAGCGCAACCCUUGGUCCUAGUUGCCAGCACUUCGGGUGGGCACUCUAGGGCGACUGCCGGUGACAAACCGGAGGAAGGCGGGGAUGACGUCAAAUCAUCAUGCCCCUUAUGACCUGGGCUACACACGUGCUACAAUGGCCGGUACAAAGGGCUGCGAAGCCGCGAGGCGGAGCCAAUCCCAAAAAGCCGGUCUCAGUUCGGAUUGCAGGCUGCAACUCGCCUGCAUGAAGUCGGAAUUGCUAGUAAUCGCGGAUCAGCAUGCCGCGGUGAAUACGUUCCCGGGUCUUGCACACACCGCCCGU